rnacentral:rRNA from 1 species
CCUACGGGAGGCAGCAGUGAGGAAUAUUGGUCAAUGGCCGGAAGGCUGAACCAGCCAAGCCGCGUGAAGGACGAAGGUGCCAAGCAUUGUAAACUUCUUUUGUCAAGGGACAAAAUCAGGCUCGAGAGCCUGACCGAGGGUACUUUAAGAACAAGCAUCGGCUAACUCCGUGCCAUCAGCCGCGGUAAUACAGAGGAUGCGAGCGUUAUCCGGAUUUGUUGGGUUUAAAGGGUGCGUAGGCGGACUGUUAAGUCAGCGGGAAAAGACCGGGGCACAACCCCGGCGAGCCGUUGAAACUGGCUGUCUUGAGAUGUCGAGAGGUAUGCGGAAUGCGCAGUGUAGCGGUGAAAUGCGUAGAUAUUGCGCAGAACUCCGAUUGCGAAGGCAGCAUACCGGCGGCGAUCUGACGCUGAGGCACGAAAGCGUGGGUAUCGAACAGGAUUAGAUACCCCUGUAGUC